rnacentral:lncRNA from 1 species
GCCUUCCUGUCUGUCCUUCUGUUGCCCCCCACAUUAUAACAGGUUCAGAAAGCAUGUAUAUCUCAAUGACUGAACUGAAUGUUUACAAUGUCCUUGUGGAUGAACAUGAACUGAUUUCAGAUGGGAUGGGCUGAAGACCUUCCUGAGCCUGCCGAGGCAGUCUCUGUACUGCGGCACCAGCAAAGGAACCAAGGCAUUCGUCAGGUCCUACAAGAACCUGCAUUUCUACUGGAUUCUUGGAGCUGGCCACUUUGUAAGUCCUGCGGCAUCUCUCACAUUCACCUAGGAUCUGCUUCCCGUCCCAUGUGAGGGUCUUAAAUCGGGAUGCCCCCGAUCCAGAAUGAAGCUGACUUGUUUCCUCAUGUGAUCUGCAAUCUCUUCUUUGACUGCAGGUGCCUGCCGACCAGCCUUGUAUCGCGCUGAGCAUGAUCGGCAGCAUCACCCAGUCUCCGGCCAGUUAGCGGAUUUUAUGUGAUACGCAAAGAUCAAAUGAAGAGACGUCAACUGGAAGCAGCUACCACACGGACGCGGGCAAUGCAGCACUCUUGAGUACAGUGAAGGUCGCAUACUUUUGAAGGCAAUUCUGCUGAUGAUACCUGUGAUUUGGUUACAGUUUUCUAUACUGUGAAAAAUAGAGCGCUGGUGCGAUAGGAAAAGUGGAGAAGUACUUUUUUUAAUGAUUUUUUGUAGUGGGUCGAUUGAUUUAUGUUGCGUUUGGGAGAAAAAAACACUUAAUUUACAAUAUCACUUUCAGAGGUUGUAAAGUUGCAAAAUUUCCAUAUUUAGCAUAAACAUCCGACCAUCGAAUUCAGCAGAUUUUUGUCCCUAUUUAAUAAAAAAAAUUCACUAAAUGCAUUAGGGACUGUGAGGCCCAUGGAGUGAGCAAGCAACUAAUGGGCCAAAUCUAAUUGUAGGCUAGUUUUUAUAGGCUAGAUAAUAGCAAUUUCGACUGCCAGAUUGCAGGCCCAAUUUAUUUUAGGUUAAGCCCAGUUUCAAGCCAAAAAUAUUUUAGGUUAAGCCCAUUUGUAGGCCCAGAUUGUUUUGGGUGGGUACUUUAGGAUAUUUUCACUGCAGUUCACUUGAACUAAAUAUUGGGUUCCAAGGACUUGCCAUUCUCAUACAUAUUUGUCAAUGAUGAAAGACUAAAUUACCUCUAGCACCUAAACUAUAUAUUUUCAUUGCCUCGACUCAAGCUCUAUGAUAUUGACAUGCACCUCCCACUCCCUCCAUUUAGGAAGAAUGCAAUUCUAGCAUAGUGUCAUAUUUUAAUAUCUCAAAUUUAACCAAUUAUAGAUAUAAAAAUGAUUAUAAUAUAAAAUAAAUACCAUUAGAUUAAUUACAAAAUUUAUUUUUAUAAUAAAUUAUUUUGGAGCCAUAAAUGUCAAUAGUACUUAUUAGAAAAUUAGUCAAACAAGAACCACUUUAAGUGGCACGCAACCCAUAGUUGCAUUCUUUCUUGGAGGGAGGGAGUACCAUUUUACUUGUUUUUGUAGGCUGAGUGGUAGGUCAAACCAACUGAUGUCAACACUAUGCGCAUCAAACCAUCUGACACACUUUAGAUUCUGCUACCAAAUUUAAAGAUAAUUGCCACAUCGACCAACUACUCAGUGAUAAUUUCCCUGUACGAAGCCAAAUGAGAAUAUAUUUGGUUACGAUGGAUGAUCAAUCACAUCCAUAUGUUGUGUGGUAUCAACAUCCUUGACACCCUAGCCAUAAUGCGGCUUAAGUUUCAUAUGGGCUAUGUUAAGAGCAACAUCAAAUCUAGCAGAUCUACAGAUAUGUCCGUGGAAUUAGCAUGAAACACGACUGGGUUCAGGGGGAGACGAACCAUGGAUUCAUAGCUCAUGAUUGUGAUCUUGAAGAUCACGAGUCGGUGUUAAAGACCUGAUGUGAUAUCCAACUCAGUUUGGAAUUUGGCCCAUAGUAGCCCAUAUGCGUGUUAAUGAGAUAUUAUGGAGGGUGUUUAGUCCCACUUUGGUUGUUUAGGGUGGAUUAGACUAAUUUAUAAAGCUUCUAGAAUCUAUCACACUAUCCUUGAGUUAAAUCCUUUUACGCGAAGUGAGAACAAAAACUUAAGUGUGGUUUGCUACGCGAGUAGAGUGGAUCUAAUGGUAUCAGAACCGAUCUUCGCGGCCACGGGGUCAGGGGUGUGGACAUGAGGGUCAUUGUGCGUGUAGGUCCUGUGGGGUGUAUGACAUGACACAUGUGCCGACACUGGACGCAUGGUCGCGUGUGUUAAGAGAAAACGUUUCUGGUUAUUGUUUGCCCAAUUGUCGGUGUGUUAGGCCGUCAAGGACGUCGAGCCCUUUGAGAGGGUGUAUGUGACAUCCGGUCUAGUUUGAAAUUUGGCCCAUAGUGGCCCAUGUGCAUGUUAAUGAGAUAUUGUGGAGCGUUUUGUCCAACCUUGGUUGCUUAGGAUGUGUUAGACCAACGUAUGAGGCUUCUAUAGUUCAUUCCACCAUCUUUGGGUUAAUCCUUUUAUGAGAAGUGAGAACGAAAGCGUAAGUGGGAUGCUGACAGAUAUGAUUCGCAACGUGAGUAGAGUGGAUCUAUUUGGAUUCUAGAGUGUUACACCUGAUCGAACACUAACUAUUAUACUCUUUUUUUUCUUUGAUGAGUUUUUUUCUACUAGAUUUUCUCAUGUAAGGUUUUUUAAUAAGGCAACAUGUACAACAUAAGCGAUGCAUGUGGUGUGUUAUUUUCUCCUACAGCACUUUUUUCCCACCGGAUUUUUUUUGGGGGAGGAGGGUUAACGAGGCAUACAUAUAGUGAUAUAGCACAAAUUUGGCAAGGAGGAGUGUUAGAAAAGAAGAAUGAACAAGACUUUGAAACGGUAGCCAAAUUUAUUGAAAGGAAGAAGAAAGUCACAUAAUUCACGUACUGUAACUUGUAUUAAACCUCCGCCUCUUGCUAUAAACAGAUGAUCACUUUCACCCUUUGUCAAUGAAAAAAAAAUGAAUACACAAAAGAGCUCUCACUUUCCUCCCUACAUCUCUACUCUAUUCUUGUUCUAGUUCUUGUGUCGAACGAACCCGAUUUCUAACAAGAGAGAAUAAAAAUCCCCACGUGCAUCUUGCCUUACCCCCGUCGUAUUCUUGUGCAUAUCAUGUAAGACAAGUGACGCGUAAUCCGUUGUCGAUGUGCGUAAGAAGAACAAAUUGGGACAAAAGAAACAACAAAACAAUAUUCCUCCACCAGUUUAUAAAUAGGAGUACUCGGCCAAGGAUGUGCAUGGCACGACCAUCGUACCCUGCGCCCCGCUGUUCCUGGUUGCCGAGUCCUACGGCCGCAAGUACGCCGCCACGCUGGGCGUGUCCGUCGCCAGAGCCGCCCGCGCCGGCGAGCUCAAUAUCACGCCCUACCAAAAAAAAAUUUUCAUCCAUCCCAUCGAAUCUUUGGACACAUGCAUGAAACAUUAAAUAUAGAUAAAAAAAUAAACUAAUUACACAGUUUAGUUGAGAAUCGCGAGACGAAUCUUUUAAGCCUAGUUACUCCAUGAUUAGCCUUAAGUGCUACAGUAACCCACAUAUGCUAAUGAUAGAUUAAUUAUGCUUAAUAAAUUUGUCUUGCAGUUUCCUGACGAGCUAUGUAAUUUGUUUUUUUAUUAAUUUGUAAAAACCCCUCCCGACAUCCUUCCGACACAUUCGAUGUGACACCCAAAAAAUUUUCAUCCCCAAUAUAAACAGGCCCAUGAAUUGACAGAGCAACGUGCUCUGACGACUGGGAUUGUCAGUUUCUUUCUCUGAUCCACACGUGUCACCCUCGGCGAUAACUUUAGGCCUUGUCUACUUCGGAAAAUAUUUUGGUUGUCGACACUGUAGCACUUUCGUUUUUAUUUGACAAACAUUGUCCAAUUAUGGAAUAAUUAAAUUUAAAAGAUUCAUCUCGUGAUUUACAGAUAAACUGUGUAAUUAGUUUUUGUUUUUGUCUAAAUUUAGUGCUUCAUGCAUGUGCCGCAAGAUUCGAUGUGACGGAGAAUCUUGAAAACUUUUUGGAUUUCGGUGGGAACUAAACAAGGCCUUAUCUCGCCGGAUCAAUGUGGAUCAGUCGAUCAGAGAUGAUGAUGAUGACGACGACGACGACGACGAUAGUAAUAAUAAUAAUAAUAAUAAUAAUAAUAAUAAUAAUAAUAAUAAUAAUAAUAAUAAUAAUAAUAAUAAUAAUAAUAAUAAUAAUAAUAAUAAUAAUAAUAAUAAUAAUAAUAAUAAUAAUAAUAAUAAUAAUAAUAAUAAUAAUAAUAGUAGUAGUAGUAAUAAUAAUAGUAAUAAUAAUAGUAAUAAUAAUAGUAAUAAUAAUCAUAAUAGUAAUCAUAAUAGUAAUAAUAAUCAUAAUCAUAAUAAUAAUAAUAAUAAUAAUAAUAAUAAUAAUAAUAAUAAUAAUAAUAAUAAUAAUAAUAAUAAUAAUAAUAAUAAUAAUAAUAAUAAUAAUAAUAAUAAUAAUAAUAAUAAUAAUAAUAAUAAUAAUAAUAAUAAUAAUAAUAAUAAUAAAGCUUUAGUGUAUUUUUUAUACCUGACUCGCGAGCUUAACGAGCCAACUCGAGCUCGUAACGAGCCGGCUCGUUAUCGAGCCUUACAUUCAACGCAUAGCACAAGUUUGAUGGUAAUAAGUUUGUAAGAAAGUUGAACUCAAAAUACUGCAAAGAUGAUACAUGCAUGGAGAGAUGUCACAUAGGGUUAUCCCUAGACAAGAAGUCCUAGGUUCUAGAAAAACUCCAGAAACAGAGAAAAUGCACCCAUCCUAGCUCCCACGCUAAGGCCUUGUUUAGUUCCAAAAAAAUUUAUAAAUUUUUUCAGAUUUCUCGUCACAUCGAAUCUUUAGACGCAUGCAUAGAGUAUUAAAUAUAGACGAAAAUAAAAACUAAUUGCACAGUUUGGUCAAAAUUGACGAGAAGAAUCUUUUGACCCUAGUUAGUCCAUGAUUGGACAAUAUUUAUCAAAUACAAACGAAAGUGUCACUAUUCAUAUUUUGCAAAAAAAAUUGGAAGUAAACAAGGCCUAAGAAGAAACUUCUUGCUUGUAGGCUGCGAAAACCCAUUCUACCUCAUGUGGAGUAGCUUUUUUGAUGGAUCUGAAGCCAGCUUUUUUGACGGAGCUAAAGCCGUAUGUGAAAGUGUUUGACAAAAAUAGGUACAAUGAUAAUUUUAUAAUAAUUUAUAUUAGGUUUGUUUGAAGAAAUUGAGAGGAAUCAUAUGUUUGUGUCUCUGACUCCUCUAUAAAAAGAGGUUCUAGCUCCUCUGAAUUUUUUAAGGAGCCAUUUUUUAGAUAACCUAGAGCUCAUUGGAAAUAGCCUUGAGAAGCUAGAGCCAGAGCCCUAUCAAUCAGAACCUAAUAUAUAAUAUAGAGCAUCAUAUAUGAAAACAAAAUUAGAUAACCAAAUUAUUAAGCUAAUCCAUUUACCACUAACUACCACCUACAGUAGGAGGUCUCUACUAUAUAUAUAUAUAUAUAUAUAUAUAUAUAUAUAUAUAUAUAUAUAAGAGAGAGAGAGAGUAAUCAACAACUUGUAUCUCCUGGCCCUAGACAAAAAGCAGUUUAUCGUGUAGUACAAUACUGUAUCUGCUUAUCUAACGGGCGAUAUGUCACAUAGCUUGGCGUUAGACUGUCUUUCUAUUUCGUACUGAUAGUACGACGCGUUGUGCGGAUAGACGCCGACUGCGGUUUCUCCUCUCCCCUCCCAGCAGCUUCUUUUUUUCCCCGCCGCCGGCCCCUGUCCUCCUCGGCGUUCUCGCCGGCGGCAGGACAGGUGAGCCGGCCCCCUCCCUCUUCUUCUCCUUGAAAAAUCCUUUAGCCAAAUAAAGUCUAUAUAGUAGAAGCUUUGGAGAAAGAUGAGAAGAAACAGGCCUCCGUCGGAUCUCACCCCUCCCUCCCCUGCAGCGCCGCCAACCACCGUCGCGUCUCCGCCCGUGCCGUCCUCCAUCUCCAUGGAGGAGAGGGAGGGCUUCCUCCAUGAACGAGAUCCGGGAGCGCUGCGGGACCUCGAGCGGAGGGUCAUGGCCGGGGACCCAGAUCUCGUCUCCCUGCGCUGCCUGCUCUUCGACUUGUGCAGCGCGGGAGCAGCUGGCUCCGGCUCCCGGUCCCUCUGCUCGCGAAGCCGCCGGUGCGUCUCGCGGAACCCAGCGUCUUCCUCCGCGCCCGCCACCCCGUCGCCGCCAUCGGUCACCCUGUCUCCACCAUCGACGCCUGCAAGCUCCAUUCCAAGACGGUGGUCUCCAUCUCGACAUCCAGAUCUCGUCCGCCGUCUUCAGCUUGCUGCGGGACCCGCGUUCGUCGAAGUGGGCCCCACUUCCUGUGAGAUGGGACCUCCGCUCGCAUAUCUCUUCUCCUUACUAGUUUAUUUUCUUCUUUUUCUUUAUUUAUUUCUUUCGUUCCACUCUUGCAUGGCUUCAGGUCUUCAUUCGGAUAGAGACGCCCGGCUCUCUUAUCCACUUCCUUUUAGUGCCUGCAUAUUGUCUGUGGUCCUUGUUUCCUAUGUUUCUUUUAGACAGCUACUUCUUCGGCGUUGGUUCGACGAUGCUGCCUUCAUCUGGGAUAUCGGUUCAAGCUCCUCCUACCUCUAGCAACGUCUUCAACACCAUCUUUCGGUUGCCGGAAUAUGUCUUCUUCGAUGGCUUAUCCGAUUCCCCUUCAACCGUCGCAGUGCGCGGUCAAUCCAUCUGGGUGCAAGCGUCUUGGACGCCUCUGUGUAUUCCCCUCGCUGGCAUGCUAGUUUAUCUCGACGCCUUAGUCGACGCUGCUGUCUUUAUUUCUGGUCUUAGGAUCUCGAUGUAUCAAGUUAUCUCUUUGGGAACCUCCUUGUAUUACGUUUGUUUUAAUAUAUAUGAUAUGUUGUUGUAAAAAAAAACAUAGCUCGGCGUUCCAAAUGGAUGGCUCGCGGAUGGCUAUUAUGCGACCGGAUGGUCCACCCCAUGUCGGACAUUCCGAGCGAACGAACGUCAAGAUGGACUUCGGAGACGAAAACCAGUUUUUUUAUAUGUAGUACAAUAUUUACAAUGCCGCACACAACUACACAAGGUUAUCAAAUAUCUAAUAUUUACAAUUUCCGUUUGGCUGCAGCCUAGUAACAAACGCAUAGUACGCCAACGCAGCAGCAGCACCGAGCAUUUCUGCCUUGGCAUCUCCGAUCCGUUUGAUUGGGAGGCGCUACCCUAUUUUAAACCACGGCCGGCCACUGACCACAGCACCACUCGCACUCACAGGUGACAGACCACAGCAGCAUCAUCAGAAUAUCGCGUUCGCCGCCAACAUGGACAGGUCCUUCUCCCAGCUGCUUGCUUUGCUUUCCUUCCUCUGUAUCGGCCUGAGCUUGCUCCGGUCAGGUUCCGCCGUGACGACCACCGCCGGCACCCCCGACGGCUCCGAGCUGUGGGGGUACGUCGAAGUCCGACCAAGUUAGUAACGCUCCUCCCCUAGUGGCUCCUUUUGCAACAUCUAUCGUCGCUCUUUUGCCGAUCGGCUUCCUUAAUAAUUAGCAUUAGACACUGCGUCACCGUCGUCGUCGUCGUCGUCGUCGUCGUCGUCGUUGCAGAGGCUCACCUGUUCUGGUGGUACUACAAGAGCCCACAGAGGACGCCGACGCCGACGAAGCCAUGGCCGACCGUCCUCUGGCUGCAGGGUGGUCCGGUACGCACUGCCACUACUCCUCCUCCGUUAAUUCAAGAGCUUGCUCCUCUCCUCUGUAUGUCCAAAGAACAUGGCCUGAACCUUGUCACCGAACCGUGGUCUGGACGUCCGGUGGCUUUGCAGGGCGCGUCCGGCGUCGGCUCGGCAACUUCCAGGAGAUCGGGCCGCUGGACGUCAACCUGCAGCCUCGAAACUCGACAUGGCUCCAGAAGGCCGACCUCAUCUUCGUGGUCAGACACAGAUCGAUCAGAGAUAGCCUCUUCUUUUGCUGUAUUAUCUUCUCGUGCUGAGCCUUCUUCUCUGCAUGUCUCGACGGCGCAGGAUAACCCGGUGGGCGUCGGGUACAGCUACGUGGAGGACGACAGCCUGCUGGUGACCACCGACUGGCAGCAAGCGGCGGACGCCACCGCGCUGCUCAAGGCGCUGGUGAAGGAGGUGCCCACGCUGCAGAGCAGCCCGCUGUUCCUGGUCGCCGAGUCCUACGGCGGCAAGUACGCCGCCACGCUCGGCGCGUCCGUCGCCAGAGCCGUCCGCGCCGGCGAGCUCAACGUCACGCUCGGAGGUAUACGUAGUAGAACCCACGCAGCACUGAUAUAUAUAUAUAUAUAUAUAUAUAUAUAUAUAUAUAUAUAUAUAUAUAUAUAUAUAUAUAUAUAAUUGCUUUCUACACGUACGUGUAGUUACUCUCAUCUUUAAUAAACCACAUUAUGUAUGUAUUCAUACUUGUUUAUCGGUUUGAGUAUGUUUAUAUACUCAUAUUAAGAUACUCUAGAUCUUACCACGCGAAAUUUUUUUUAAAAAAAUAUAUUUUAAAUAUAUUACUAAAAUGCCACUACUAUAUUAUAUACAAUAAGUAUAAUCAUAUACUCUAUGUAUGCAUGCAUACUUAACAUACAUAUGACUCUAGAUGGUCUAUUAUGAUCAUAUACUUUGUCUAUAUACAUUUCGUCCGGUUAUAUAUACCUUAAAUCUAGAGAUAUAUAGAUGAGAGUAACUACACGCGCGUUGGUUGAGCGAUUUAUUGCAUAUGUGCUCAAAGAUUCUCGGUUCUUUUGUGUUUCCGGCAGGUGUGGCGCUCGGCGAUAGCUGGAUCUCGCCGGAGGAUUUCACGGUGAGCACUGUGGACAUGACACGAAACCAUGGCCUUUCAGCUGACGAAUCUGUAGUACUCCGUGUGUAUAUAUAUAUAUAUAUAUAUAUAUAUAUAUAUAUAUAUAUAUAUACUAUGAAUGAAUGUAACUAAAUGUGUUUAAUUUCGGACUGUGCAUGCAGCUCUCGUACACGCCGCUGCUUCUGAGCGUGUCGAGGCUUGACGACAACGCCGGCGACGAAGGAAACAAGUAAGCACACGCCGCGCCGGCAAGCGAGCGAGCGACCUACCGGAGAUCUCAUUUUCCAGUCACAUUCACAAGCGCACGCCAACUGUAAAUCUCAGGAUAGCAGAGACGGUGAAGGAGCAGAUCGCGGUGGGAAAUUUCAGCGACGCGGAGGGUUCGUGGAAUCAUCUCCUGGGUUUCAUCCGCUCCAGGAGCGGCGACGUUGUAAGUGUUGACGACAGUUGGCUCCGGUGUUCUACAGUCUACACAUUGAUCCGGCCAAGCAUGCCAUCUCCAAAAGCUUGUGGAUUUCUCUCACGCUCGCUCUGUUUUUUUUUUUCAGGACGUAUACAAUUUCCUUGAUGGCAGCUUAGACCAGCAGGCGUCAGGGGAAACGCCAGCAGCCUCGUCCUCAACCUCAACUCCAAGCACCGAGAAGGCUAUGAUGAAGUACUCGAGGUACCUCAGCGGCAAGGGCAAGGAGGACUUGUCUGCUGGCUCCAACACCAUCACCGGCAUCAUGAAUGGAGUCAUCAAGGAGAAGCUCAAGAUCAUCCCCAAAAACCUCACGUGAGUGUCCCCGGUCCUCGGCAUUAUGUGUUCCAAGACGAUGCAAUGGUCUGAUGCUGGAAUUCCAAUUACAGGUGGGAGGAGCUUAAUGGUGCUGUUUAUAACGCGCUGGCCAGUGAAAUAAUGAAGCCAAGAAUCGAGGAGGUGAGCGAGCUCUAGUACGCCUCGGCAUGGAUAAUGAUCACGUUUCUGAUUUCAGAAGGUUUUUGGGAAUAAUAAUGUUCAGGAACUAGCAACUCCCUCAGUUCGAUUGACUUCGAGUGUUCUAUUGCAGAUUGAUGAGCUACUGUCUUACGGUGUCAAUGUGACGGUGUACAACGGCCAGGUCAGUAAUACUACUCUGCCUUUUCUUCUUGAGUUCACCACUCUGUAUGGCAGAAACAUUACACCAUGAAAGUUAAGGAUUUAAGCAUGUUAAGAUCGAUGAAUUUUUUUAUGCGGGAAAAAAUGUUACUCUCUCGUCCUUUGAUAUAUACAGAUCGUUUUUGAAUUGUGUACACAAAUUAAGUUAGAUAUAUAUAUGUGAAGAGAGUGAUGCCUUAUAAGUGAACUGCCCAUCUUUCAUGGUCCAUGCAAGAUUUUGGAUUCAACUAGAUGGUGCACGCAAAUUAAUAUGGCAUCAGGACCAGAGCUGUCUGGCUUUUGUGCAAAUUGAAUAAAAAGAUUUGUUGCCUACUCCUACUCCAUAUCUAAAGGAAUAAGUGGAUUGCCUGCCUUUUGCCGUUAGCCACACUUAGCUUAUUCAUAAUCCAUCAGACUAUCGGUUAGUACCUGGGAUCUUCUUUAAAACGAUGAUAUCCUUUUUCUGAAAAUUAUGAACCUUGACUGACACGAUUAAUCAAAUAAGGUACAUAUGAACAAUCUACCACAGUUACAGUAGGCAUCUGGAUUAUCCAUUCUUAUGUUAUACAUAUAUAGCUAGAUGCACAGGAUUUAGGCUGCAAUUUUCAGUGCUGCACUUGAUACCUAUGUUUUUUUCCCACCAAACUGAAGCUCGACAUAAUCUGUUCGACCAUCGGCGCAGAAGCAUGGGUUCAGAAGCUCAAGUAAGUUAUCAUGUCUUUUUGUUCCCACAUAAUAAGUAACAUGAGAAAUAUCUUAACGGCUGAAUACAUCCUUUGGGGAUACAAUAAUCACAGAUGGGAUGGAUUGAAGACGUUCCAGCCUACCAAGGCAGACUCUCUACUGUGGUUCCAGCAAAGACACCAAGGCUUUUGUUAGGUCCUACAACAACCUGCACUUCUACUGGAUUCUUGGAGCUGGCCA